CGUAACACGUAUGUAACCUACCUUGUUCAGGGGGAUAGCCUCUCGAAAGAGAGAUUAAGACCGCAUAACAUUGGAUUGCAGCAUUGCAGCCCAAUCAAAUAUUUAUAGGAACAAGAUGGGCAUGCGGGACAUUAGCUAGUUGGCGGGGUAACGGCCCACCAAGGCGACGAUGUCUAGGGGAUCUGAGAGGAUGACCCCCCACACUGGUACUGAGACACGGACCAG
rnacentral:rRNA from 1 species